rnacentral:rRNA from 1 species
AACGUAGGGACCGAGCGUUAUCCGGAUUUACUGGGCGUAAAGCGUGUUCAGGCGGUCUGUCAAGUCGGGCAUGAAAGCUCUCGGCUCAACCGGGAGAGGCUGUCCGAUACUGGCAGACUUGAGGGCAGUAGAGGGUGGUGGAAUUCCGGGUGUAGUGGUGAAAUGCGUAGAUAUCCGGAGGAACACCAGUGGCGAAAGCGGCCCCCUGGACUGCGCCUGACGCUCAAACACGAAAGCUAGGGGAGCGAACGGG